GGGCGGACCUUUGCAGUGUGCGACCAAUACCCGCGCGCAACCACCAACAUUGGAAGAGCCGCAGAGCGGGCUGCGGAGCAGCCAAUCGGCAAUCGAAGGUACGCGUGCUCGCGGCGCACGGCCCAAUAGCUAUGCCACGUGGGCGGGACCAGGCGCCAAGGCCGGCGCUACGCUAACGUUUCUACCCCAAGAUACUUGUAGUAGCAGAGGAAGCAGUAGCUUUGCAGUAGAAGGAAGCCUGGAAGACAGCACCAUAAACAAGCAACCAAGGUCAUCAGCAUGUCCAAACUGAGCAAAUUGUACACUUCAAAUAUUUGUUACAGUGUAUAUUAAUUGUGCCUCAACAAAUGUGAAGGAAAAACACCCAUCCACAUACUAUGGGUUUCCUGAGGACAUGGACUCAUUUUUUGGUAUUUCUGCCUCAAAAGGCACAAAAUCUUAUAGUGCAUAAUCAGUAUCAUUCAAGUCAGACAGUGGACCCACCUUUGAGCAAAAGAAAACCACUUAGGUGGGGAGCACCAGGAGCAUGGAGGGAUGCCAGGAAUAGGGAACCCAGACUCUAAAUAAGAUCUUAGCUCAAGAAAGGAUAUUAGUGGGAGAAUUGGUAAACUUCAAAUAGAACCUCUUGACUCACUAAUAGUAUUCUGUGGAACCUCCUAGGCCUAUUUGUAGGUUUCCUUGUAUGUUCUAGGUUAUUCAUUUUAUUUUUGGUUUUUGCAGUGCUGAAAAGUUAACCAGGGCCUUGCACAUGCUAGGCAAAUCCUUUACUACUGAGCUACAUGCAACUUUAACAUAGAACUUUGCUAAGUCAGUUUGGCAAAAACCUCUCCAUCUUUGCUAUCUGAUCAGGUUCCUCAUUUUCCUACCACCUCCCAGGUGAUGUCUGACUCCCUCCAUACUUUGCCUUUGGCAGUAAUCUUGUUUAGUCAGUUUAGCCUGAAUCAUUCUUACCCAUUUUCUCUUCAUAUUAGGCAAGUGCUCUACCACUGAGUUACAUCCGCAACCAACAACAGACACUUGUCCCACAACUCUGCAGGCUGAACACAGAUCCAGACAGCAGCAGAGUCACAGCUGUGCACCCUCUGACAGCUCUGGGGAGGUUCCAAUCCAGGCCUAUCUCCCAGCACUCGGUUCAUCCCUGGCUGGUACAGAACUUCAUAUAUUGUUGUCUCUGUGCCUGUGCCCAAGUUCCCUUUCACAGAAGGGCACCAGUCACAUUGCAUUCAGGCCCAGCCUAAAGGCCCCAUUUUGAUUAUCUCUGGAAUGACCCUGUCUCCAAACACAGUCACAUUUUGAGGUACUGAAGGUUAAAACUAAAAUUUCUCUUUUUUUGAGUGAGGGAGGGCACAACUCAAGCCCUAACAACACUAUAUAUAUCUUGGAUGCCCAUUCCUCAGAAGGCUCAUUGGGAUACUCCAGACAGGCUGGGGAGCUGACAGACUAAUGACAAGACUUAACUUUCCCUAGGCAUGUCCAAUCCUAUAAUAGAGGGAAACAACUUGGGAGGUUUGGCACAAUGGCAGGGUGCCUGGUCAAAGUGGGUGCUGGCAUAGAACAAGGCUACAGGACACAGGGCCAAUCAGUGAGGCGGAUAGAAGAUGCUGGCAGUAGGGUGGUAGCCCCAGCUAAGAGCCUGUAAUUCUGAUUGCCAGACACAUGUGGACUUGAGACUAGUUUCCUCACAGGCCUGGGGCAGGGAAAAGUAGGCUUCUGUUCAUCCCCAAACAAGCCAAUAAUUCAUUACAUCCAGGCUGGGACACCUCAUAGCAGGUCCACAUCCAUCCUGUGCUCACUGCUCUGGGUGCCAUCUUCUGAAAAGCCAAGUCAGGCAAAAAGAAGCCUUGAGCUGUGCAUUAAAUAUGUGGGAUUCACAAGCCUGUGGAUGCCUUUCCAUCCCAGAGUUCCUCUUAAUAAUCCCUAGUAUUAGGUGAUUUGCCCUGUAAACAGCACCUAAUUUCCAUACACAUAGGUCCCCGUGUGCUUCAGUCUCUGCCCAAGGAUAGAUGAACCACCUUCCAUAGACUUCAUCAUGUGGAAGACAAAAGGAAGAAGGAGAAAGAGCCUUGUAUAGGCAUCUGUACUGCUGCAGGGAGUCCUGUCACCAUCGCACAAAGGAAAGACCUUGAAACAUCACAGACUCAAAGCUUUAUUAUCCAUAGCUCACAUUAAAUUCAGAUUCCUAUGAAGCUGGACUGUCCAAGAAAGAAGGAUACAGCAAGGGUUAGCUAAGUCUCCUUGCUGAGACAGGCUUGCACAAAGCCCUCAAUGCUCACCUGAGUGA